UUUGAUGUUGGUGUGUAUUUUUUUGUUUGUUUGUAAGUUUUAGUUUGUAUGUUUGCAUUUGUAUGCUUGUGUUUGUGGUUUAUGUUUGUUUGUACAGUAUGUUUAUGUUUGUAUGUUUGUGUUUGUGACCUAGUUUGUUUGUUUGUAUAUUUGUUUACUUGUUUGAGUUUGGGUGUAUAUUUGCAUAUGUUUGUAAGUUUUAGUCGGUAUGUUUGUGUGCAUGUUCAUGUUUUCUGUAUGUUUACGUUUGUGUGUGUGUGUGUGUGAUUGUGUGUGUAGACUGUCUUGUUAAAACAAUCAUAGAUCUCACAUCCUUUUGACCACUAAAUUAACUUUCAGCUAACCUCACGCUCACAGGUCAACGUCAUAAAUAUUUUAAAUUGUAAACCUUUGAUCACUGAACGCAAAAUGUUGAGCUUUAGCUGACCCGCAGCACCACCAUUUACAAUGCCAGACCCCCUCAAAACUAAUUAGUUUACAAUUGAGUUGCAAACCCCGAAAACCUUUAGAUUUUUUACAAUCUUUCAAAAUACCUUUCGCUGAUAUGGUCGUACCGGAAAUCACACAGUCCCA
ensembl:lncRNA